ACGAACGCUGGCGGCGUGCUUAACACAUGCAAGUCGAACGGAAAGGCCCUGCUUUUGUGGGGUGCUCGAGUGGCGAACGGGUGAGUAACACGUGAGUAACCUGCCCUUGACUUUGGGAUAACUUCAGGAAACUGGGGCUAAUACCGGAUAGGAGCUCCUGCUGCAUGGUGGGGGUUGGAAAGUUUCGGCGGUUGGGGAUGGACUCGCGGCUUAUCAGCUUGUUGGUGGGGUAGUGGCUUACCAAGGCUUUGACGGGUAGCCGGCCUGAGAGGGUGACCGGCCACAUUGGGACUGAGAUACGGCCCAGACUCCUACGGGAGGCAGCAGUGGGGAAUAUUGCACAAUGGGCGUAAGCCUGAUGCAGCAACGCCGCGUGCGGGAUGACGGCCUUCGGGUUGUAAACCGCUUUCGCCUGUGACGAAGCGUGAGUGACGGUAAUGGGUAAAGAAGCACCGGCUAACUACGUG
rnacentral:rRNA from 1 species